rnacentral:tRNA from 1 species
GGGUGGUUCGCCUAGAGGCCGAUGGCACCUGGCUGUAAACCAGGCGGGGUUCGCCCCCUCGGGAGUUCGAAUCUCUCACCACCCACCA